rfam:Gossypium hirsutum cultivar TM-1 chromosome 9, whole genome shotgun sequence
UAUUAAAACAUUUAUCGCUUUUUACUAUUAAAAACUGACGUGGCUAACAAAAUUAUAAGAUAGUUACACAUGGCAUCCAUGGGUACCUCAUGUUGAAGCAUAAGGGCCAGUUUUUAACAAUAAAAAUGAAUAAAAUUUUUAACA